rnacentral:rRNA from 1 species
GACGAACGCUGGCGGCGUGCUUAACACAUGCAAGUCGAGCGGUAAGGCCCUUUCGGGGGUACACGAGCGGCGAACGGGUGAGUAACACGUGGGUGACCUGCCCUUAGCUCUGGGAUAAGCCUGGGAAACUGGGUCUAAUACCGGAUAUGACUCCAUGACGCAUGUUGUGGGGUGGAAAGCCUUGUGCGGCUAGGGAUGGGCCCGCGGCCUAUCAGCUUGUUGGUGGGGUGAUGGCCUACCAGGCGACGACGGGUAGCCGGCCUGAGAGGGCGACCGGCCACACUGGGACUGGAGACACGGCCCAGACUCCUACGGGAGGCAGCAGUGGGGAAUCUUGCGCAAUGGGCGAAAGCCUGACGCAGCGACGCCGCGU